GGGACGACGAGCAGGCGCGGCGAACGGAGGAGGGCGAGGUUGAGGGUCUUGAAGAAUUGGUGGGACUUCAUGUCGGCGGCGCCGCGGCGGGAGCCGAGGCGAGCGGAGGGGUCCUUGGCUAGGAGCCGCGGGCGAUGAGGCCGUGCGCGUCGGCGUCGGCCGGCCGC
rnacentral:sRNA from 1 species